AUUGAACGCUGGCGGCAUGCCUUACACAUGCAAGUCGAACGGCAGCACGGGAGCAAUCCUGGUGGCGAGUGGCAAACGGGUGAGUAAUAUAUCGGAACGUGCCCAGUCGUGGGGAUAACGUAGCGAAAGCUACGCUAAUACCGCAUACGAUCUAUGGAUGAAAGCGGGGGAUCGCAAGACCUCGCGCGAUUGGAGCGGCCGAUAUCAGAUUAGGUAGUUGGUGAGGUAAAGGCUCACCAAGCCGACGAUCUGUAGCUGGUCUGAGAGGACGACCAGCCACACUGGGACUGAGACACGGCCCAGACUCCUACGGGAGGCAGCAGUGGGGAAUUUUGGACAAUGGGCGCAAGCCUGAUCCAGCAAUGCCGCGUGCAGGAUGAAGGCC
rnacentral:rRNA from 1 species